ACUGAAAUGCCUGGCGUACCGUUAGCAGCCACUGUGCACAUCGAAUUAAAAUUAAUGUUUGUCUCAAGCGCUGCAGCUUCAAAUUAUAGCCAUGGAUGACACCUCAAUUUGCGCCUAUGUCACGAUUCUUAUAUUCAUUUUAGUUCUGUUCCCUGAUUGGCUAUUCGACACACUAUUUUGCCUCCACCGAUUCCUUCACGAUAAAAUUCUUAAAAUCGUCUGUUGCACAAUCCACUUUGUAUUCAACUGCUUCGGUGUUCUACUCACAGUUUUAAGCAUGUUCUUCAGACCAGCUCCAAAUUGUCCAAGACCUCCAAAAUGCUGCUAACAAUGAGAAUCCUGUCGAUCAUUCACCCCAAAAACAAAUAGAAGAACUACUUUAUGGAUAUUGCGAAAGAAGAUCCAAAUAGCAACCAGUUUUUGAUCACCGUAUCUCCUGGCUCAAGAAAAAUCACAUUUCCAACCAGGCGACGCCGCCUUUCGUCCGGUCGCCGGUCAUCGCAUCACAAGUCUGAGCGGCGGAUCUGCUCGGCCAGCCACUCCGAAUCAUGACACGGUGUGAAAACUGGCCACAUGUAUUUGGAUGUGUUAUUCAACUUAUCAGCAUCAAUGCCUACCCUC